rnacentral:tRNA from 1 species
CCCUGGGUGGUACAAAAGGUUAACACACUUGGCUGCUAACCAAAAGUUUGGAGGUUCAAGCCUACCCAAGGCC